UUUCUCAAAAUAUGUCCCCAUGAGCAUGUUAUGAAAUAUUUAAUUCCAAGCAUAAGAUAAAUGUAAUUGGAGUGGAUCUCGACUUGGAUCCAGAAGUCAAAGCAGGCACAGAGGGAGCAGAGCAUGGUGACUCUUGAGGAGGUAUCUUGGGAAGAAAACAGGAGGAGAUGGUGCCAGGACAUGGAACAGAUGGAUCCAUGGGGCCAGAGACCCCUUGGCUAUGCCCUCUCUGCAGCUUCAGCUCUUGCUCCCAACACUGGAACAAAGCAAACAAGACAUCCAGAUCAAAAAUGAACAGUGAAUCAGGAGAGCACUGAAGCACAUGGUUACAGCAACAGCUCCCAGACACCCUCAGGCAGCAUCUCUGCUGGAAGGCCAGGGCUUUUUACCCCACCUCACUGGAGGAAGGAAACUGAUUUAAAGAAAAAAAAAAAGUAAGAUAGAGUUUCAACUGGAAAUAAAGUACUCGGUGGGCACACCAUCAUCAAGCUGCAAGCCUGAUGCCCCCAAGCUCAGCCAUGGCAGCUCUGGAGGCAGGGCCUGCCCAGACAACAAGGGACUCUUGGGCAACCUCUGACAUCAGGGUCAGCCCAACUGAGGAGAUAAUGUUCAGUUCUGAAGUGGUGUGAAUAAGAGCAUCUGCCAAUGCCUGCCUGUGCACGAGGUCAGCGGGUUUGCAUUCCUUCAGGUCAGGAGGCAGAACAAGAGUGAUCUCAUCCCCGUGCCAGUUUCUCCACAUUACAAAGUUACAGGAAGAGGAGUGGAUGGGACGGAGCCCUUGUCUGCACUGCUGGGGAGGAGCAAACACCCAGAAGCAAUCUCAAGAGCUCACGCUGAUUAACACUGCUGGGUAUUCAUCAGCCUGAUUUCGAAAACGGGGCAUCUGUGAGGUAACGAGGUGAGGAAACUCACUGGAUGUCACAGGAUGAAUGAGCAUCCACACAGGACUGGAACUCAUCUCCACAUUCCUGGGGCCAUUUGUAAUCCAUGCACAAGAAUGCCAGAACAACCUUUUAUUGCCAUUCACUAAGUUCCCAUAUAACAGGGCAUCGAAGGACCAGGCAUUGAAUCUUCUUCACUUUUCAUGGGUUUUUUUAAGAAACUGUGGUGACUAAAAAGAGGACUUCAGCAGCUGCAGAAAAAAGCCCACACUGCACUCUUUCACCAUCUACCUCCUUUCACAGGUCUACCUCUCCGUUCCCUCACUCCAUCCUCCAAGAUGCAAAUCCAGGAAUUUUCAUGGAUAUUUGAAGCGUACUUCCCAGGUCCUUUGCGUUACCAGAAGUUAAUUUUUAGAGUCAGAUUGUAUGUAACUUCUGUAUUACUUCCACUCAGUAGUGCAGUUGUUCCAGAUAGAUAUCAGUAGAGUUGAGACCAAGGUUUGUCUUGCAUUAUAUUCAGUGAAUUUGGAAGCAAACUUGCCAUGAAAUUUCUUUGCCUCUGUUGUUUUCAUCUACAAUGUACUAUCGUAAAUUGCUAAUACUCAUAAAAUUUAUGAAGAAAAACAUUGCUAGAUUACUCUUCCUGUUUUAUAACCUGUGAAAAUCAGCUCAUAAAACUCUAACAUAUCUUUAACUUCCACGCCUUCCAAGAUAUUCUAAUUUUUUUUUUUCAACACAGCAUGGAAGAGACUGUGAACAAGUACCUUCAAGUUUACCCAUUAUCAGAGCUGUGAUGUGAGCUUGUAAUUCAGGUUCUGUGUCAUCUGGGGAAAAAUGUAGAAUGCUCAUCUCUGCCCCCUGCACCCACCCAGGUGUGGUAUUAGGUUUUGAUCACUUUAAUAACUAAAUUUUUUUACUUAUUAUUUGAGUUAGCAUACUGUGUAGAUGAAUUCCUUACAGACCAGGAUGUUACUAUGCUGUAUGUUACCCAGCUUUUUCUGAUCUGUAUUUUGUAGAUCCCUGAAUGGUUUAAUUUACCAUGUGCUAUUCCCCACAAACCCAACAUCACAAUCAGGGGAGGAGGAUUGUCCUGCAGUCAUGAUCCUACCAUAGUGCUCUGUCCUAAAGCUUUUUCUUUAACAGCUGAGUGGGCUCAUGCCAGGAGCUCCUGCAGAGGGGAAUUCAUCCAAGCUGGGAUGAGGGUCAGCAGGGACUGUGAGGGUGUGGUUUUUCAUUUUAGUAUUUCAGCAAGGUGAGGCUGAAAGGUGUUAAGUCUCAUGAUUUACAAAGCCCAGACAGGGUUGCAAGGUUCUUAUCUGCAUGCAACUGUAUAUGAAUCAUGGAAAGAAGUGAGACACAUUACACAUUCUGCAGGGUGAAGUCAUACGACCUUGUCACUUGGGGUUUCUUGGUACAGAACACAAGUCCCUGCCAGGUUCCUGUUACCUACUUUAUUUCACAUCCCACAGCUUGUCUUUGUGAAUACCAGACAGAGGAAAGCCCCAGACCUAACUGCUGGUCUCAGUUAUGCUGAUGUGACCUAAAUAAACAUUCUUAUGUAAAAUCUCUAGCAAUUUGCUCAAAGUGCUUGGUCUGAGAGCUCUGAUGACCAAGCAGUAGACCACCAGCCCUGUGGAGCCACUGCAGCUGGAUGGGAGUCUGACCACCAGUGGAGGAUCUUGCACAGGGACCUGGAGAAUUUCCUCCUGCUGCCACACGUGUGAAGGGUAGGCAGGAACAGAAAGCAAAUGCAACAGGGAAAGACAUAACCAGAAACUGUGGGAGGGAACUGAAAGCAUCUCACUGCUCUUUGUGUGACUUUAUCUCCAACUCUGCUCUGCAUCACCUCUGUUAUAAGCAAAACCUGGUUUCCCUUCAUCUGAGAAUGCACAGGGAAGUAUGGCCUCAAAAAUCCCUCACUAAUUUAACACUCAGAAUCACUUUUCCCUCAUAUCCUAUGUGGUAUCAAUGCAGCUGCAAAAGCACAGAUUAAGAAACCAUGGAUGAGUGCACUGUGAAUUAUGCAAUCCACAGCUAUAGGCUUAAGAAAUUUGAGUAUGUUGGUAUACUUGAAAAGUGUAAUUUCAAAUAAAUUUCAAUGUGCAUACUGUCAUGCUAAUCUGAACACUGUGCCCACUGCACACUUCAACUUUCAGAGUAUUCUGAAACCCUUUUCUGCUACUUGCAUGUACACUGAUAUCACUUAACCUUCAUGUUCUUACAGAGCUCACCACAAAAUUUCCCACGUGCAAAACCUAUCAUGCUCAAUAUUUUCUCAUGAUUAUAAAAGUCUUUCAUCACAAGAGUAAAUACUGAAAUAUUUACACAGGUUAACUGUGAUAUUGGUCUGCACAGAAUAAAAACACAGUCUCACUGCACUGCUGAUCUGUAUUUUAGCACCAUUCUUCCACCAUCAUCUUUGUCUCCUCCAGUUUUUCCGACCUGUGUGUCCUGGUAAAGACCUUGGUGAUGAUGGAGCAGACUAUGAGCAGCCACCCCUAGUACCACAUUGGCAGGAAACUGAUUCCCCGAAGCACGAUGCAGCCAUCAGACAGAAGGAUGCCCUGUGUGUCUUUUACUGGAGGGAACUGCUUGCCACAGCCACCCUCAGGCAGGGCAGCAGAGAGCAGGACCAAGGCCACCACCCCCCUGUCACUGCUGGUCACUGGGACAGCACAAGGGCCACCCACACUCUGACAGUAACAUUUUCCCAUAGCCGACAUCCUUUCCCUCAGAAAACUUCCAUUUAUAGUUCACAUCUUUGUCUCAGCUUGUCCUGCAGUGGUUUACACAUACCAGCAUUCAAUUAGCAUCUCUAAGUAGUACAGACAGCUGGGUAAGGGCCGUGCAGCCUGCAGGCAGACUUUCCCAUCCAGGUGUUUGGGAUCUGAAGGAUACUGAAGACCUCUUCCAGAAUUUUGUUGGAUCCACCAAGCAGUGUUGUGCAACCUGCAAUUCUGUAACAAAGAACAAUACUGAUGUCAUGUGUCAGCUCUGCCCAUCAUUCCUGGCACCAGAUGAGAAGAAAAAAAGAACCAGCUCCAAGAUAACUGGAUGGAGAAACAUCCUAAAAGUUUAAAAAGAAAACACAGGCAAUCUUUGAUCUAGACAAUGCCCGAUUCAUAGUAGCACAUGUAAUCUGAGUGCCUCACUGAGGGGAAAAAAAGUGAGAAAUCACAUUGCUUUUUUAUAUGGUCAUCAUGAUGCAAACUCAAGGUGCUAAUGCAGAAAGACUAGGAAAUUAAGAAAAAUCCUCUCCCUUUUCCUUCAGCUGAUCUUCUGUGUGUAUGAUUUUAUCAUCUAAAAAUUGUGUAUGACUUAAUGCUGGGGGGAAAAAAAAAAAGAUAAAGCCUCCUGUCCUAGAGAGACCACACUAAAUCUGCUUACAAACUGAAUUAGUCAUAAUGUACACUACUGUGUGCUGUUGGAGUGAGUUAUCUGUAGAGAGUGAGUAUCAGCCAGUACAAACAAAUGCUGUUGUCCAAGGAGGGAAAUCUACACCAGUGAUGGUAUUCAGUACUCAGACCCUCUCUGUCCACUUCUUAAGUAGGACAGAAGAUUUUUUGUUUUGUUUUUUUUUUCUUUUUUUCUUUUUUUUUUCUUUUUUAAACAUCAUAUAAAAACUGAAAAAGAAAUUUAAUGAAAAAUCUAUAAUAGGGUUAUUCAUGUGGUAAAAUAACUGCAAAAGCAGUUCAGAACCAUUCUCACACUUAGGUGAGCUGAAAUUGUUAUUUUCUCCAAAGAGGGAGGCAGAAGAAGUGAAAUAACAAAGGUGAAUGGACAACUUUAAGAUUUACUAAUUCAGAGAGAAAAAACUCCAUAGAUUUUCACAAAGCAAAUCUCCUUGGAGAUACUGGAUUAUACGUCACACAAUGAUUGCCAAAUGUCUCACUUGAUCAGGGUGGCCCAUUCUCCAAUGAACAUGUAUUAUCUUCACAGCUUUGUGACCACAAUAAUGAAGUAAAAGGCAAUCUUGCAGUUCACAUCAGUUAGAGAGAUUACAUAAUUUUUACUAUUUUUCCAACCCAUGUCUGGUUU